GAAGAACUGGGGGCUUGCAUAUGGGAUGAGAUGCCCCCUUAUUGGUUUAGGAUGAGCUGUACUCCUAUGACCAACCAUAUUGGUUCCUGUAAUUUAUCUCUCUCUUCCUCCCAGCUCCACAAGGUCUUUCGUCUUUAACAAAUUUCUUCCUGCUAAAUAAGGUGAGAGAUAGAAAGGAAGAGGAUGUUGGUAAAUUACUCUUGCCACCACACCCAACAGGAGUGAAUUUGGGGUCCAAGUCACUGCAGCAGGGAGGCUGCUCUUGGCUGGCAGGGUCUGAAAAAGCAUCCCAGGAGGUGUUUUCCUUUGUCUUUCAGCAAAUAUGAUCAUUCAGGUGUUCUUGGGAAGGAGUCACAGGAGUUUUACAUACGAAGCAUAUACAGGACAGCUGAAAUAUCUCCUUCUGCCUUCGAUCUGCUUUGAGGUUAUUUGCUUUAAGCAUAGAAGAGAAUCCAGCCUUUCGCAGAUGUGGAGCUGAAAAAGGGAGGACAUCUCAGACCGCUGGAAGGGGCUUGGGGAUGACACGUUGAGAAUUGCUGCUUUAAUGCAUAGUUCUGGAAGUUACAUAAUACCUCAAAGCCGCAAUAACUAAGCUUUUCUCAAAACAUUUAAUUCAGCCUCACAUUGCAGAACUUUGUUACAGAGAUUUGGGGAAUCCGCCCACCCACCCAUCUCCUUCUCUAAGAGCCGAACCCCACCCACACCCACUGUGGGGAGUGUUGGGAGGACGCUGGCAGAAAUCCUUCUAAGAUAUGACCUGCCUUCCACCCUGGGUGUAAGUUUCUGCACCCAGAGAGGCUCCCAACAAUGGGGAUCAGCCAGCUUCUCUCUUCAGGGACUUUGGCACUGGGGAAUGUGGACUAAAGGAGUUUGAACUUAGAGAUCGAGGAUGCUGACGUGGGGCAACCUCCUUAGCUGUGGAACCCUUGACUCUUCAUGGCUUCUAUGUCCUGCUUCGAAUCUCUCAAGAGAGGAAUCUGCAGCACAGAGCAGCAACGUCAAUUUUCCACGGCUUCCCAGCUGGCAAGUCCCAGAGGCAGAAGGUGUGCUGGUGACAUCCCUACGGCUCCAGGUGUACCUGCCACAUGGUGCUGCCAGGGCUUCCUGCUCCUCCCUAAGCCGUCCUAUCAUUUCCAGUGGGGGAAAUUGCAUUCUUAGAAGCUGGCACAAGAAUUUCUCUUAGGGAGAGAACUCUCUUUAUUCAAGAAGAGGAGGUGGAGAGAGAGGCCUGGGAAAGGGAACCCUGAGGGGACAGGAGCCAGGGCAGCCAGGCAGCUUGCUUCCUGUGCCUUAGAAACCAAUAAAAGGGGCCCGUAGGGCUCCAGGAAGUGAGUGGGAAGGGGGUGGAGAAGGAGGAAGGUGAGAAGCAGCUUGACAUGGCCAGUGGAAAAUUCCCCAGUGGCAGGGAUGCUUUCUUUUACUUAAUAUAAACUUUAUUGAAGAGUAACAUACAUGUAGAAAAGUGACAGAUCGGAAGCGUUUAGCCUAGUGAUUUUCACAAAGUUAAUAUACCCAUGGAGCCGGCACCUGCAUCAAGAAACAGAACAUUCUGAGCGUGCCAGAGCCCCCACUCAUGUCUCCUUCCUGGUGUUAGCCUCCCUUCCUGGUUUCUAGUGCCAAAAAUACAUUUUGCCUGGUUUUAUGUAAAUGGAAAUAUGCAAAAAUCUACUCUUUCAGGUCUCAAUUCUCUGACUCAACAUGAUAGUUGUAAGUCCAGUCUGCGUUCUUGCCUGUAGUUGUAUGUGACUCCUUUUCAUUGCUGUAUGGUAUUCCAUUAUAUAAAUAUACCACAAUCUAUUUAUGCUUUCUAUGUGGAUGGACUUCUGUAGAUGGACAUUUGGGCAUUUUCCAUUUGGGGCUAUAGUUGGUUCUAGGGCCGUAUGCUCAUCCUUUUACACGUCUUGGUGAACAUUCAUAGUGUUUUUGUGGAAUGGAAGUGCUGGGUUAUAGGAUAUGCAUGCGUUCAACUCUACUAGGCCCUCCUAAACAGUUUUCCAAAGUGUGAGUACCUAUAUACAAUCUAUAGUAGGUUAUUUUUAAGACUAAGGAAUGUUUAAUCUCUGUUUGAAUGUGUGUUGCUGUGAUAUAAACUUCCAUCCCCUCCUAAACUGUUCAGUAAUAUCUAGCACAUCUCAGAGAUCACUUAUAUGAGUAGAGGGUUUUUUUUUGACAAAAACCAAAGAAUGAGCUGAGGUUGAUGGCAGGAUAAGCUGGUGUGAAACAGAAAAUAGCAUGUGGCAGAUGGUGAAGGGCCCACGAGCUGAACUAACUAUGAGCAGGAGCCCAGGGCCCCAGGUGACUGAGAAUGACAGCCUCCCCUAGGAAUCUCAGAGAUCACCUUGGGCACGC
rnacentral:lncRNA from 1 species